rnacentral:rRNA from 1 species
ACUAAUACAUGGCCAGUCGAACGAACUCUGGUAUUGAUUGGUGCUUGCAUCAUGAUUUACAUUUGAGUGAGUGGCGAACUGGUGAGUAACACGUGGGAAACCUGCCCAGAAGCGGGGGAUAACACCUGGAAACAGAUGCUAAUACCGCAUAACAACUUGGACCGCAUGGUCCGAGUUUGAAAGAUGGCUUCGGCUAUCACUUUUGGAUGGUCCCGCGGCGUAUUAGCUAGAUGGUGGGGUAACGGCUCACCAUGGCAAUGAUACGUAGCCGACCUGAGAGGGUAAUCGGCCACAUUGGGACUGAGACACGGCCCAAACUCCUACGGGAGGCAGCAGUAGGGAAUCUUCCACAAUGGACGAAAGUCUGAUGGAGCAACGCCGCGUGAGUGAAGAAGGGUUUCGGCUCGUAAAACUCUGUUGUUAAAGAAGAACAUAUCUGAGAGUAACUGUUCAGGUAUUGACGGUAUUUAACCAGAAAGCCACGGCUAACUACGUGCCAGCAGCCGCGGUAAUACGUAGGUGGCAAGCGUUGUCCGGAUUUAUUGGGCGUAAAGCGAGCGCAGGCGGUUUUUUAAGUCUGAUGUGAAAGCCUUCGGCUCAACCGAAGAAGUGCAUCGGAAACUGGGAAACUUGAGUGCAGAAGAGGACAGUGGAACUCCAUGUGUAGCGGUGAAAUGCGUAGAUAUAUGGAAGAACACCAGUGGCGAAGGCGGCUGUCUGGUCUGUAACUGACGCUGAGGCUCGAAAGUAUGGGUAGCAAACAGGAUUAGAUACCCUGGUAGUCCAUACCGUAAACGAUGAAUGCUAAGUGUUGGAGGGUUUCCGCCCUUCAGUGCUGCAGCUAACGCAUUAAGCAUUCCGCCUGGGGAGUACGGCCGCAAGGCUGAAACUCAAAGGAAUUGACGGGGGCCCGCACAAGCGGUGGAGCAUGUGGUUUAAUUCGAAGCUACGCGAAGAACCUUACCAGGUCUUGACAUACUAUGCAAAUCUAAGAGAUUAGACGUUCCCUUCGGGGACAUGGAUACAGGUGGUGCAUGGUUGUCGUCAGCUCGUGUCGUGAGAUGUUGGGUUAAGUCCCGCAACGAGCGCAACCCUUAUUAUCAGUUGCCAGCAUUAAGUUGGGCACUCUGGUGAGACUGCCGGUGACAAACCGGAGGAAGGUGGGGAUGACGUCAAAUCAUCAUGCCCCUUAUGACCUGGGCUACACACGUGCUACAAUGGAUGGUACAACGAGUUGCGAACUCGCGAGAGUAAGCUAAUCUCUUAAAGCCAUUCUCAGUUCGGAUUGUAGGCUGCAACUCGCCUACAUGAAGUCGGAAUCGCUAGUAAUCGCGGAUCAGCAUGCCGCGGUGAAUACGUUCCCGGGCCUUGUACACACCGCCCGUCACACCAUGAGAGUUUGUAACACCCAAAGUCGGUGGGGUAACCUUUUAGGAACCAGCCCGCUUAAAGGGG